AUCCCUUCGGAGACAUCCAAUAAAAUUGAAACGAUACAGAGAAUAUUAGUAUAGUCCGUGGCCAAGGAUGCCAAACAUAAAAUCGGGAACUUUU
rnacentral:snRNA from 1 species